UACAGAGGGUGCGAGCGUUGUUCGGAAUUACUGGGCGUAAAGCGCACGUAGGCGGCUUUCUAAGUCGGGGGUGAAAUCCUGGAGCUCAACUCCAGAACUGCCUUCGAUACUGGAAAGCUCGAGUCCGGGAGAGGUGAGUGGAACUGCGAGUGUAGAGGUGAAAUUCGUAGAUAUUCGCAAGAACACCAGUGGCGAAGGCGGCUCACUGGCCCGGUACUGACGCUGAGGUGCGAAAGCGUGGGGAGCAAACAGG
rnacentral:rRNA from 1 species